rnacentral:rRNA from 1 species
GAUGAACGCUGGCGGCGUGCUUAACACAUGCAAGUCGAACGGAAAGGCUCCUGCCUGCCGGGGUACUCGAGUGGCGAACGGGUGAGUAACACGUGGGUGAUCUGCCCUGUACUUCGGGAUAAGCUUGGGAAACUGGGUCUAAUACCGGAUAUGACAAUCUCUUGGAUGGGGUUGUGGAAAGCUUUUGCGGUAUGGGAUGAGCUCGCGGCCUAUCAGCUUGUUGGUGGGGUAAUGGCCUACCAAGGCGUCGACGGGUAGCCGGCCUGAGAGGGUGUACGGCCACAUUGGGACUGAGAUACGGCCCAGACUCCUACGGGAGGCAGCAGUGGGGAAUAUUGCACAAUGGGCGCAGGCCUGAUGCAGCGACGCCGCGUGGGGGAUGACGGCCUUCGGGUUGUAAACUCCUUUCGCAACCGACGAAGCUUUUGUGACGGUAGGUUGAGAAGAAGCACCGGCUAACUACGUG